UGCCUAAUACAUGCAAGUCGAACGAACUUCCGUUAAUUGAUUAUGACGUACUUGUACUGAUUGAGAUUUUAACACGAAGUGAGUGGCGAACGGGUGAGUAACACGUGGGUAACCUGCCCAGAAGUAGGGGAUAACACCUGGAAACAGAUGCUAAUACCGUAUAACAGAGAAAACCGCAUGGUUUUCUUUUAAAAGAUGGCUCUGCUAUCACUUUUGGAUGGACCCGCGGCGUAUUAGCUAGUUGGUGAGGUAAAGGCUCACCAAGGCAGUGAUACGUAGCCGACCUGAGAGGGUAAUCGGCCACAUUGGGACUGAGACACGGCCCAGACUCCUACGGGAGGCAGCAGUAGGGAAUCUUCCACAAUGGACGCAAGUCUGAUGGAGCAACGCCGCGUGAGUGAAGAAGGGUUUCGGCUCGUA
rnacentral:rRNA from 1 species